UUAAUGCUGAAGAUUAACAGAAAUAGGUUACAAUCCAGUAGCAAAUGAUGUGCAAGGUCAUACACUUCAGAAUUAUGAACAGUUAUCUCUAUUAUCAUCUAGGGAUCUCCUUAGCUGGUCAGGACAUGCAGAAUCAUAGAAUUAUAGAAUCAUUUGGGUUGGAAGGUCAUCUAAUCCAACCUCCCUGCAAUGAGCAGGGACAUCUUCAAUUAGAUCAGGUUUCUCAGAGCCACAUCCAGCCUGGCCUUGAAUGUUUCCAGGGAUGAAGCACCCACCACCUCUCUGGGCAACCUGUGCCAGUGUUUCAGUACCGUCAUUGUAAAAGAUUUCUUCCUUGUAUCUAGUCUUAAUCUACCCUCUUUCAGUUUAAACCCAUUACCUAUCAUGACAGGACCUGCUAAGAAGUCUGUCCCCAGCCUUCUUAUAAGCUCCCUUCAACUACUGAAAGGCUUCAAUAAGGGUCUCCUUGGAGCCCACAAGAAAGAUGAAAAUACUUACUGACAAAGAAUGAUUGUGAGACACCUACAUAAUAUACCUGUGAAUACAUGUGAUUCUGAUUUCCACCAGCUGUGCCAUUGUACAAAGUCCUCAGAAGGCAGCAUUUAAAAGCCUGCAUAUAAUUUUGUGUAUAAAGAUCACAUAAGAAGACUUUCACAGGGUACUGGAUGGCUAUAUCUGAAAUCCUGGAGGUAAAGAGAAGUUGCCUCCUAAGUGGUGACUUGGAGAGCUUGGCUAGAUGAUCCUAUUAAUCAAAACUGAGACAGGAACAUGGAGAUGGCUUAUGAAGUCACACCGGUGAGUCCAGUGGAGGAUCACCUUGCCGGUCCAGGGCUGGAUCUCAUGAUAUACAAGGAAAGUCUGAAGGAACUGGUUUUAUUCAGCUUGGAGGAGAGAAGACUCAGAGGAGAUGUUAUUGCAGUACCUGGUAUUCUACCUGGUGGAGGAUACCAGGGAAAAGAGUUCAACUCUUAUAAAGAAUGCAGAGUGAUAUGAUGAAAGAAAAUGGGCGUUGCUGGAAAAUCAAAUAUUCUGGUUACAGACAUAAAGAAUUUUUAGUUUUUAACCAUAACUGUCAAAUAUUGUAACAUAUUUGUGCCAAGAGAGGUUGUGGGACCUCCAUCCCUGGAGAGUGCUCAAGACUCAACUUGAAACAGCCCUGAUCAGCCUGAUCUGAAUAGAUCUGCUUUGAGCAAGGGUUAGACUAGAUGAACUCCUUACAACCCAAAUUAUUCUAUGAUUCUAUAAAAAUGCAUCAAAAAGCAGAGGAAAAAUACCCCACUAGUUAAACCUAAAAAAUACUGCCACAAAACCAGACCAUAGUGAACGUUAGGAAGCAAAGUGAGUAGGUUUAUAGUCAGGAAAGUUCUUAAACAGUACGGACAACAAAAAUACACUUACCUUUGAAAUAAAAUUAGAUCAAUUUUUGAAAUGGAGUGGAAUGAAAAGGACUGGACUAGCAACCCUGAAAGUGUCACGUCCAUAUGAUCUAUGUUGAUGUUUAGUUGUAACAUUCCUUCUUCUGAAACUUGGUAUUUAUAAAUCACUGCCAACAUUUUAACAUAAACUCACAAAACAGUCAAGGAAUACAUACCCGUACAACAGUUCAGCUUGUUUCUUCCCCAGUAUGACGUGCGUGAAAACCACAGCAAGAAUUUCACUGUUACUUGCAGCAAAAGAGCAGCACACACAACCCCACUCUCUGGGCUGUUGGAGUGACAGCACUGAGUGUGAGCACCACAUGGUAUGGGCUGUUGUCACCCACCACCAGAGUAAUUCAGCCUGCAGCGUAGCUUGGAGCUGCCCUCAAGAGUGGAUCCACAUGCUAACUGCUUGGGAAACCAGAUUUUUCUCCUACAAGCAACAGAUUAAGCUUCUGAUACUGUUUCUGAAGAUGUUUCUCUGAAGUUGGAGGAAAGAGCACAACUUGUUUUCAUAGUGAAGUGCUUCACUCUACGCAAGAAAAUAUUUCCUGGCAAAAACUUAAUUUUGUUUGUUUAGUCUUUCUAGCUCAGCACAGGAAGCGUCACACCUGCUUCAACUGAAUGGACUUUCAGAAACAUCUACAGUCUUCUGUUUUGGAUCAGCAAAGGGCAUUUGAGUCUCCUGAUCUCCUUCAGUCAGGAAAGUGGUGUUGAGUUGGUGGAGAAAUACACAGGGGUUGUGAAAAAAGGGAGAAUCCCUUCAUGUGGAGGAAGAGAAGACCCCAGAAAGAAAUCAGUUCCAGCAUUAGUACCUCCA